GAACAAGCUCGGUCAUUGAUGAAGUCCGGAGGAAGUUCGGAGUACAGUCGAUCGUGGCUGGGAGAUGUCUGGAAGAGAUUCGGAGAAUAGUCGAUCACUAUAGAGAAUCGACUGAAAGUGAAGCUCAGAGAGCAUUUGGAGCAGUCCAGUAGAUGAAUGGAGAAGCUCAUGAUUGGAGAAGUCCGGAUGGUAUUAUGGAAGCUCG
rnacentral:lncRNA from 1 species